rnacentral:rRNA from 1 species
AGCCUUUAGCCCUCCAAGUAUUAAAGGUAACGCCUGCCCAGUGAGACAUUUAACGGCCGCGGUAUCCUAACCGUGCAAAGGUAGCGUAAUCACUUGUCUCCUAAAUAGAGACCUGUAUGAACGGCUAAAUGAGGACUAAACUGUCUCCUUUAACCAAUCAGUGAAACUGAUCUAUCAGUCCAAAAGCUGAUAUAAACCCAUAAGACGAGAAGACCCUGUGGAGCUUUAAAUCUAUAGCCAAACAGGACUAACCAAGCCCAGCCCAUGGCUAACAAUUUUAAGUUGGGGCGACUUCGGAACUAAGCCAAACUUCCGAGCACAUAGAAAAUCAAUCUAACCAAGGCCUACAAGCCAAAGAACAACUGACCCAGUAACACUGACCACCGAACCAAGUUACCCCAGGGAUAACAGCGCCAUCUUCUUCAAGAGUCCAUAUCGACAAGAAGGUUUACGACCUCGAUGUUGGAUCAGGACACCCAAAUGGUGCAGCCGCUAUUAAAGGUUCGUUUGUUCAACGAUUAACAGUCCU